UACGUAGGGGGCAAGCGUUGUCCGGAAUUAUUGGGCGUAAAGAGCGCGUAGGCGGUCCGAUAAGUCGGCUGUGAAAGUCAGGGGCUCAACCCUUGAAAGCCGGCCGAUACUGUCGGACUAGAGUCCGGAAGAGGCGAGUGGAAUUCCCGGUGUAGCGGUGAAAUGCGCAGAUAUCGUCAAGAACACCGAUAGCGAAGGCAGCUUACUGGGCUGUAACUGACGCUGAGGCACGAAAGUGUGGGGAUCAAACAGG
rnacentral:rRNA from 1 species